GCUUCCGAUUAUACCAGCAUUAAUGCAUCGGAUCCCAUUAAAACUCCAAAAUUAAGCGUGCUUUAGUAUUAGAAUGGGUGGCUUCCUGAAAAGUUUUCAUGUUAAACU
rnacentral:rRNA from 1 species